CCAGUAGUCAUAUGCUUGUCUCAAAGAUUAAGCCAUGCAUGUCUCAGUACAAGCCAAAUUAAGGUGAAACCGCGAAAGGCUCAUUAAAUCAGUUAUGGUUCCUUAGAUCGUACCCACAUUUACUUGGAUAACUGUGGUAAUUCUAGAGCUAAUACAUGCAAACAGAGCUCCGACCGGAGACGGAAGGAGCGCUUUUAUUAGAUCAAAACCAAUCGGUGGCGGGUCUCCCGUCACCGUACACCUUGGUGACUCUGAAUAACUUAUUGCUGAUCGCACGGUCUCGCACCGGCGACGCAUCUUUCAAAUGUCUGCCUUAUCAACUGUCGAUGGUAGGUUCUGCGCCUACCAUGGUUGUAACGGGUAACGGGGAAUCAGGGUUCGAUUCCGGAGAGGGAGCCUGAGAAACGGCUACCACAUCCAAGGAAGGCAGCAGGCGCGCAAAUUACCCACUCCCGGCACGGGGAGGUAGUGACGAAAAAUAACGAUACGGGACUCAUCCGAGGCCCCGUAAUCGGAAUGAGUACACUCUAAACCCUUUAACGAGGAUCAAUUGGAGGGCAAGUCUGGUGCCAGCAGCCGCGGUAAUUCCAGCUCCAAUAGCGUAUAUUAAAGUUGUUGCGGUUAAAAAGCUCGUAGUCGAAUUUGUGUCCCGCGCCGCCGGUUCAUCGCUCGCGGUGUCAACUGGCGUGUCCGCGGGACGUCCUGCCGGUGGGCUUAGCCCCCCGUGGGCGGCCCAAUCUCAAUCCCACCGCGGUGCUCUUCAUUGAGUGUCGAGGUGGGCCGGCACGUUUACUUUGAACAAAUUAGAGUGCUUAAAGCAGGCUAAAACAUCGCCUGAAUACUGUGUGCAUGGAAUAAUGGAAUAGGACCUCGGUUCUAUUUUGUUGGUUUUCGGAACCCCGAGGUAAUGAUUAAUAGGAACGGAUGGGGGCAUUCGUAUUGCGACGUUAGAG
rnacentral:rRNA from 2 species